GUUUACAUUCUGUUCCCGUGGAGCUUUUUCUUCCAUAUUUAAGUUUUGUUCCAUAAACGGCGCAUUCCGUUUGGUCCAAACGGGUCUGCCGUGUCCACCGGGAACAGAAUGUAAACCU